GGGGGCCCGCAAGCGGUGGAGCAUGUGGUUCAAUUCGACGCAACGCGAAGAACCUUACCUGGGCUCGAAAUGCAGGAGACCGGGGUAGAAAUAUCCCUUUCUCGCAAGAGACUGCUGUAUAGGUGCUGCAUGGCUGUCGUCAGCUCGUGUCGUGAGAUGUUGGGUUAAGUCCCGCAACGAGCGCAACCCUCAUCCCUAGUUGCCACCGGGUAAUGCCGAGCACUCUAGUGAAACCGCCCCGGAUAACGGGGAGGAAGGUGGGGAUGACGUCAAGUCCUCAUGGCCUUUAUGUCCAGGGCUACACACGUGCUACAAUGGUCGGUACAAACCGUCGCAAAGCUGCAAAGUGGAGCUAAUCGGAAAAAGCCGGCCUCAGUUCGGAUUGGAGUCUGCAACUCGACUCCAUGAAGCUGGAAUCGCUAGUAAUCGCAGAUCAGAACGCUGCGGUGAAUACGUUCCCGGGCCUUGUACACACC
rnacentral:rRNA from 1 species